GGGGGUUUUCCUCCUCAAAGACACGCCAUACCCUCGCUGACAACCUGGAACUUGGGCAGCCGCAAGAAACUGGCGAGACUUGUGGCUGAGACACUUUCAAUUUUGCGAAGGGGGGCGAAAAAAUGAACCCAGAGCUAACUUUUCCAUACCUUUUUGAACGGCGAAGAGCUCCUCGUCGAUACUAUCACUUCUUGGCAGGCAUGAACCCCGCUUCUGACAGCGUCGCCCUCGGCAGGAAUAACGACAAAAUCUGCCUGUGUUGUGCGACUGUGUGCCGCUCAACUCUUGCCAGUGCCCGUGAUUUCUCCCACACCGCUCUUCUCUGCGUGGCUCCAGCAACAGCCGCUGCAGUUUUUUCCACCAGCCUGGCGCGGGAGCGAGCGCCCGGGAUACUGGGCUGGCCAGAGAAGCGCGUGAACGCGCAGUUUUCAAGAGAGGCGCCGAAGUGGGAAAAGUGGCCUUAAGAGAUAAACAGAUCCGUGCGCUGUGACAAGGGAUGGUGACCAAUGGAAAAAAAGAAAUCCCCUCCUCCUGCUGCCUUCAGGCCCCCACAGCCAACUGAGUGUUAAAAACUCAACAGAUAUGAAAACACAUACAUUGUUUCCUCCUCCUUACUGCCCAGGUCCUGGGCACCGAGGCCAAGGACUUUCCAGGGCUGGAGGAGAGUGAGUAUGAAUGAAUGAUGGAUAAAAGGAAACGGAAGGAUGACUCUGAUUUUCUUCUUUUGGCAUGUGCAGAGUCACUUUCUCCUUCUCCAAUUAAAUAAAUACAAUGAAGCGGCA
ensembl:lncRNA